AUACUUACCUGGUGCCGGGACCUUGUUGGUUACAGAAGAAAAGCGCCCAGGGCGAAGUGCGGGCAUUGCACUGCGCGCGCGUUGACUCCUGCCACUACCCCAAACUGCGGCAGAUGGGGCAUUUAAAUUGAUUAAGUCCGGUUCAUCGAA
rnacentral:snRNA from 1 species